rnacentral:rRNA from 1 species
AUUGAACGCUGGCGGCAUGCCUUACACAUGCAAGUCGAACGGCAGCACGGGAGCAAUCCUGGUGGCGAGUGGUGAACGGGUGAGUAAUAUAUCGGAACGUGCCCAGUCGUGGGGGAUAACGCAGCGAAAGCUGUGCUAAUACCGCAUACGAUCUACGGAUGAAAGCGGGGGAUCGCAAGACCUGGCGCGAUUGGAGCGGCCGAUAUCAGAUUAGCUAUUUGGUGAGGUAAAGGCUCACCAAUGCGACAAUCUGUAGCUGGUCUGAGAGGACGACCAUCCGCUCUGGAACUGAGACACGGUCCAGACGCCUACGGGAGGCAGCAGUGUGGAAUUUUGGACAAUGGGCGAAAGCCUGAUCCAGCAAUGCCGCGUGCAGGAUGAAGGCCUUCGGGUUGUAAACUGCUUUUGUACGGAACGAAACGGUGAGCUCUAAUACAGUUUGCUAAUGACGGUACCGUAAGAAUAAGCACCGGCUAACUACGUGCCAGCCGCCGCCGUAA